rfam:Gossypium arboreum cultivar AKA8401 contig_2332_7, whole genome shotgun sequence.
AGGCAACCUCCUUGCGGUGACGAUGGCAAUUGGAGGUGUUAAACUGCUCGGAAAUUAAGUAAUGCUUUUGCUCUUCAGACUUGCUGAGGUCAUAUCCCCAUUGAAGCUGGUCUAGUAAGCCUAAGCACAUU